rnacentral:tRNA from 1 species
GGAGAGGUGGCAGAGUGGUUGAAUGCGGCAGUCUCGAAAACUGUUUGAGGGUCAAACCUCACGGGGGUUCGAAUCCCCCCCUCUCCG